ACUUGCAGGAAUCCUGGUCCAUCCACCGAUACAUGAUUCGGCCCCUGUUUUGGGUUUGCAUCCUGGCACCGGUGAUUUGCUACCUGGCACAGCGUUGCUACCUGGCACAGCGUUGCUACCUGGCACAGCGUUGCUACCUGGCACAGCGUUGCUGCCCGGCACUGGCACGGUGGUUCAUGUGGCCCGCAACGAUCAUGAUGUCGUCCGUCAGGAAUCUCUACAAUUACAUUAUAGAAUUUCUCUGGUUGUAAUAUUCUAACCGGGAGAACAAUCCCCUCAGGUUCUGGCUCAUCCUGUUGGUUUUUGUUGUUGUGGUUGGUCUGAUUAUUCUGAUGCUCAUUUUGCUCCUGAAAUAACAUGAUGGAGGACAGUGAACGUGAGAAAACAGAAAGCAAAUGAAGGAAACUUAAAUCUAAUUAAAUCACWUUAUCAACAUUACAUAKUCCUAAAAUCAGAAAGUGCCAAUGUAUGUGUAACUAAUAUUGAAGGAUUCUGGGCUGAAGAGUUUUACUCUACCUUUGUUUAGAUAAGCGCUUUACAAAUACAGUAAUUAUAUCAAAGCUAUCAUAUCUGGGAAAGAGGUGGUGGCUGAUGGGAAGUSAAAAGUGAAAGUGACUGCAAGAUGAAAAGUGAGCAGCUUAAAAAUAUUAKCUUCAAAUCAAGUUGACAGACAAAGAGGGAGAKAAAUGAAACACUAACACAUCGAGAUAAAYGUAAAAAGWMAUUUCAAUGUGCAGUUGUCAUAUAGUUGUAACACAGAUGUUAAGAUUGACUUUUUAAUUUCAGAGUCACUUGAUGUCAGCAGUAGUUUAUGCUUUUGAGAAAUGUUUUUCUGUCGUGUUUGAAUUUGUCUUGACUGGAAUCUUAUGUGUUUCCAAUGAAGACUCACGUUUCUAUCGAAUAAUGACUUUUGCUGCUCAACACUGCUUAAAAUAUUUAGAUCACGUUCAUGUUAUCAUCAUGUUGUCUUAGCUUGUCUCUGUAAACUUAGAGUUCCAUUUGAAAGUGAAUCAAU